rnacentral:rRNA from 1 species
UCCGUAGGUGAACCUGCGGAAGGAUCAUUAUUGAAAACAAGGGUGUCCAAUUUAACUUGGAACCCAAACUUCUCAAUUCUAACUUUGUGCAUCUGUAUUAAUGGCGAGCAACUUCGGUUGUGAGCCUUCACUUACAAAACACUAGUCUAUGAAUGUAAAAUUUUUAUAACAAAUAAAAACUUUCAACAACGGAUCUCUUGGCUCUCGCAUCGAUGAAGAACGCAGCGAAAUGCGAUACGUAAUGUGAAUUGCAGAAUUCAGUGAAUCAUCGAAUCUUUGAACGCAUCUUGCGCUCUCUGGUAUUCCGGAGAGCAUGUCUGUUUGAGUGUCAUGAAUUCUUCAACCCAAUCUUUUCUUGUAAUCGAUUGGUGUUUGGAUUCUGAGCGUUGCUGGCGUUUGCCUAGCUCGUUCGUAAUACAUUAGCAUCCCUAAUACAAGUUUGGAUUGACUUGGCGUAAUAGACUAUUCGCUAAGGAUUCGGUGGAAACAUCGAGCCAACUUCAUUAAGGAAGCUCCUAAUUUAAAAGUCUACCUUUUGAUUAGAUCUCAAAUCAGGCAGGAUUACCCGCUGAACUUAAGCAUAUCAAUAAGCGGAGGAAAAG